rnacentral:lncRNA from 1 species
GGACCUCAGGCAACAAAGGCCAGGAAACAACAAGCCAGGCACAACCUCUUUGGUCUCUGCCUCUUUUCAUGGCACAGACACCAAAAGAUGACUAAGUAACCCUUGCAAACAAGGCUGUAAAGGAUGGGUACCUCAUCAAACCUAAAGACUGCUACUUUUCAGGAAUGGUGGUCCUAAAUGCCAAAGAUGUUUCAGAGCCACUUGUCAGUUGUAACUCAGGACACCAUUCAAACUAAGAAUAUGUAACUAAGUUGAGUAACCCACACUCUUCCUGGAACUCACAAACUAGAGAAACUGCCAGGGCAGAACCACCAGGCUCCUGAGCCUGAUGGAAAGGCAGGUCUGACUCCACGGCUGGCACUCCUCAAGGGGAUACCUGAAGAGAGCUUCCCCAGAGCCGGGGCUGAUCCCAGGAGGCAGGCCAGCCACCAGUGGAGCACUAGGCAGAUGCCCUGCUGGCAUCUGUCUGAGAGCUGCUGUUGGAGAUGCCUGGGCCUCUAAUGAAGUGCCAGCCUGUCACAGAAGCAGACACUGGGCACAACUGCCAAGACCCCCUGGCCCCCAGCCCCAACUGAACCCACCUUCCUCUCAGCAGCAGUCUCCAAACUCAGUGAUGGCCCACACUACUGAUAAAAAGAUUGGGAGCAUGCUCCUCCCAUAAUGCCCGUUCACUACUUAUAAGUUAGCUAUGUCUUCCGUGGUAUUCACACACUAAAAACAUUAUAAAAUGGUCCGAGAUACAUAUAAAUAGGAGUGGUAAUAUUUACUUUCCAUCCUCCAAGUGGCUUUUUAUUAUUUUUUUUCUGACAGCCCACACUAGAGACCACUGGCUUAUUAAGUCCCUGAACCCCACCCACCCCGUGUACCCAGGUCUCCCUUAAGGAAGAGGUGGGGGAAGAUGGGAUUUGAGGCAACUAGUGACCCUAACCUAGCUCUAGAUGCCUGAGAAGGGUAAGGCCUGCAGGGCCCCUAAACUGACCAGCAGGAGCCCCUGGGCCACACACCCUUGCCUCACACACAACACACCCCACACUUCUGCCAGAACCGUAGAUUAAAAAAGCAAACUGGCCAUGUCAUCUCUCUGCUUAAAAUUUUUCCAAGGCUUCCAAAACUUUGAAGUCAACAUACAAAGUGCUUAAAAUGGUGUCCACAGCUUCAACUGAGUUCCUGAGCCAAAUCCAUUCCCCAAAUCAGCCCCCAUCACCCCUGGCCACCACCACACAGAUCUGCUCAUGGAUUCAGGACAGCAUCACCGCAGAAUCUUGAAUCCUGCUGUAGAAUUUCCCAUCACCGAGGACAUUACAAGAAACAGCAUGGAGCUGAGCCCCAGAAGCCAAUACCAUCAGAAAGCAGGAACACAAGGGGCAUGAAGGCAGUCGGUCCCCUCAUCAUUAGAACAUCCUAGAAGACUCUAUGAGUGGGAAGAACACUUUCUCAUGCUCAGAGGUGAAUACACCAGGCAUUCAUUGUAUUAUUCCUUCUUAUAGGUCUUAAAUAAGAAUGCACAGUAAAAAUUUUUGGAAAAAAAGAGUGAAAAGGACAUACACAACAUGAACUCUGUUCACAGAAACAAUUCUGUUCUGAAGGAUUGUUGAAAAAAUAAAUACAGUCAUCCAUCACUUAACUGUGGGACACAUUCCAAGAAAUGCAUGGUUAGGUGAUUUCAUCGUCUUGUGAACAUCACCAAGUGACUUACACAAACCUAGAUGAUAAAGCCCACUACACACCUAAGCUAUGUGGUGUAGCCUAUUGCUCCUAGGCUACAAACCUGUACAGUAGGUGAUAUGGUUUGGCUUUGUGUCCCCACCCGAAUCUCAUCUUGAAUUGUAAUCUCCAGAAUCCCUACAUGUCAUGGGAGGGACCCAGUGGGAGGUAACUGAAUCAUGGGGGCACUUUCCCCCACGCUGUUCUCAUGAUAGUGAGUGAGUUCUCAUGAUAUCUGAUGGUUUUAUAAAUGUCUAGCAGUUCCCCCGCUGGCACUCAUUCUCUCUCCUGCUGCCCUGUGAAGAGGUGCCUUUUCUACAAUUAUAAGUUUCAUGAGGCCUCCGUAGC